CUUUAAUAUGUAACAAAAAAGUGUAUAUAAUUAUUGUGAUGUGCAACCCAGAUUCGUUUUCUUGUUAUAUAAUAAAAUAACAAGAUUGUAGGUAAUAUAAUAACAACAAUUGUAUAAAUGCAAACAUUAUCACAAGAUUUUAAGACUUAACACAACAACAUCAUUCAUCUUCAUUCGAAAUAAUUAACUGGAAACACAGACCUUUCGGUUGAAGUAAGUAAGUUAUGUAAACAAAAGUGUAAUUUAAUUUCAAUUAUUAUAUAUACUGUACCUCUAAAUAUUUUUACACAAAAGAUAAAUAUGAUCAUAAAGGAAAAAUAAUGAUUAGAUUGAAAUGAGAUUUUAAUGAUUUUGAUAAUAUUGAUCUUUUUUGAUUUGUAUUCAUUACAAUUUUCAAAAAUACGCUUUACCAAAAAAUGAAAUGGGAUAUGUUUUGAUUCUCUUUUUUCCCCCAAAUCUUGUACUGUAUUAUCAUCUAAACGACACUUUACUUUCUCAAAUCAAAGUUACCUAUUUUCAAAUAGUAAACCAUUUAUUUGUCAAUCAGUAUAUAUUUAAAAACUAAAAAACUAUCAAAUUAAAACAAUAAUUAAAACAGAUAUUAAACCAAGUAACAUAAAAAUAUCCCACCCCCUUAUAUUUUAAUAAUAAGUUAGAAAUAGAAACUCCCCAACUUAUUAAGACAGUUUGAUAGAAUUUAUUUCUGUUGCUUUUAUUUUUCAAGUACAGCCUGACAUGAAUUCUGUUCGUCAUUUCUCUAAUUUAAAGAUUUCAGCUGCGUCAAUAAUUUAAAUAAUUCAAGAGGGGAAAAAACAUCCUUGACAGUUAAAGUAGAGUGCAGUAAUCAAAUUGGAGUGUAAGACCACUUGAAGUCUAACUUACAGAAAAACAAUUAAAUAAAAGUACAAUUAAAUUUGUUUAAAAAGUGCUUAUGUUUGUAUAAAUAAAAAUAGUGUGUAUGGGAAUAAUGAAAUUUGCUUUCUCAGACAGAAAUAUUUUGAAAUAUAAGGGCAAAGUUUCAUAUAUAGAGAAGUAAUCUCUAUUUAAAGGGACAUGAAAUCGUUGUGAUAAUUUCAAUAGCACGUAAAGUGUGGUAUCUGGUAGAAACUGAUUGAAUUGCCAAGUAACUCAAUUGUUUCUGGUAGUAAUCACUUUUUUAGUAUAUAACAACAAAGAAGUAUGCACAAUUAGACGUGCUCUCUGAUUUUCGCCUACAAGAUGAACAAUCUGCACUGUGUAAAUUGACGAAAGUAUUGUUACGGAGAUAAUAAGAUUAUGUUAAUCAUAACGGUGCUUAAGAAAGAUGACACCAGAUGACAUCCAUUUUUUUUUCAUCGUAGAACUGUGAUAUCAUCCAUCAUCUGUUAUUGAUUUGAGUUCCCUGUGGACUAGAAAUUAUGGUAUAAUAAUAACAUAAUCAAUAUUCUUCAGUAAAAUAUCAUCUUCAAUAUAAAAACAUAUUUUUUACUCUCUUAUAAAUUUUUUUUACAUUCAUUUUCUUUUUAAUAUUAACCUUUUCUAUCAAGGGUGUAAAAUUAUAUUUGUAAAUUAGCCAACUGGGAAAUUAUAAGAAGAAAAAAAUUACCAUAUAUCACUAUGUUUUGUAAGAUCGUGCGAACCAAUGAUAAAUCACCAGGUCAAUUUUUUAUUCUGUUUCUAAUUGAGGACAAAAUAUUAUCCCAUAAAAAGCAAAAACAGGCUGUUGUUAAAUCCUACUUCAAAAUGAAAGGUUAAAUAUUGUAAAAACAAAAAUAUGUCCGAAGUUAGUAAAUUCUACAAUAUCAGAUAGAAUCUUUUAUUCUUUUAACAGACAAUAAUUUUUGGCAAUCAAAUGAAUGAAUAGGGUUAAGUUCGAAAUUGACAUCACUUUGAAAAAAAAACAAGAAAAAAACCCAAUUUAAUCCACUCAUACACAACAUGAAAUGUUAUCUAGCUUUCAAA
rnacentral:lncRNA from 1 species